AAUAAAGGGAUGUCUAUACCACUAACAACAUAUGAUCAGUGUCCUCUCCACAGUCACUGAGUGCCCAGGUCCUAACCAUGGCAUGGAGCUGGAUCAUCCUCUUCCUUGUGACAAUAGCUACAGGUGUCCACUCCCAGGUCCAGCUGCAGCAGUCUGGGGCUGAGCUGGUGAAGCCUGGAGCCUCAGUGAAGAUAUCCUGCAAGACUUCAGGCUACACCUUCACUGAUGGUUAUAUGCACUGGGUGAAGCAAAAGCCUGGACAGGGCCUGGAGGGGAUUGGAAGAAUUGAUCCUGAUAGUGGUAAUACUAAGUAUGAAGAGAAGUUCCAGGGUAAGGCCACACUGACUAGAGACAAGUCCUCCAGGACACUCUACAUGGAGCUCAGCAGUCUGACAUCUGAUGACUCUGCGGUCUAUUACUGUGCAAGACACAGUGUUGCAACCACAUCCUGA